AAUACAUAUAAAUAAAAAUUUUUAUAGUUUUAAAAAUUUAUUUAAAGUUUAUUUUACAUACAAAUUUUAGUAUAUUAAAUAAGUUUAUUUUAAUAAUAAAUUAUAAAUUUUAUUGUAGUAAUUAAUAUUAAAUAAUUUAAGAAAUUAAGAUUUAGUAAUAUUUAAAUUAAUAACAAAUUUUGUGCCAGCAGUUGCGGUUAAACAAAAAUUAAAUUAAAUUUUAUUAGUAAAUUAAUAAAUAAAUAAAUUAUAUUAAUUUAAAUAUUAAAUUAUUAAGUGAAAUUUUAAUUUAAUGAAAAAUUAUAAUUAAUUUAUGAAUUAAUAAAUUUUAAUAAAAACUAGGAUUAGAUACCCUAUUAUGAAAAUUUUAAAUUUUAAUACUAAAAUAGUAAAUAAUUAUUUAUUGAAACUUAAAUAAUUUGGCGGUAUUUUAGUUCAUUUAGAGGAAUCUGUUUAAUAAUUGAUAAUCCACGAAUAAAUUUACUUAAUAUUUAAUUUUGUAUAUCGUUGUUAAAAAAAUAUUUUUAUUGAAUAAUAAUAUUUAAAAAUUUACAAAAUAAAUUAAAUCAGAUCAAGAUGCAGAUUAUAAUUAAGAAUAUAAUGGAUUACAAUAAAUUUAUUUAAAUGAAUAUUAAUUUGAAAUAAUUAAUUGAAGGUGGAUUUAAAUGUAAUUUUAUUUAAUUUAAUAAAAUGAUUAAAAAUUAAAAUAUGUACAUAUUGCCCGUCGCUUUCAUAUAAAUAAAAAAAAAUAAUUAAAUAAAAUUGGAAUAAGUCGUAACAAAGUAGAGGUACUGGAAAGUGUUUCUAGAAAGAA
rnacentral:ncRNA from 1 species